rfam:Ovis aries breed Texel chromosome 1, whole genome shotgun sequence.
UCCCUAGCGGCUCAGAGGUUAAAGCGUCUGCCUGCAGUGCAGGAGACCUGGGUUUGAUCCCUGGGUUGGGAA